rnacentral:lncRNA from 1 species
GCUCCAUAACAGCAAAUAAAAGUCUGGCUCAAGAAUAGCUGUACUUGUAUUUGAGUUCUCUCCCCAAGGUGUAUGCCUUACUUGCUUAGAAGCCUGUCCCUUCCCUGUCACCUUCUAUGCGUCUCGUAUUUUGUUGGCAGUGCUGAACACUCCGAGACUCAUCAAUGCUAUGCAACAAUUCCAAGCGAAGUCUGUCCUGAACUCCUCCGUGGCUGAGAGCUGGCAGGGGAUGCGCCAUACAGAAGGCUCUCUGAGCUGUCCUCCCCUUGACUCAGGAUUUGGUCUAUGACUGCUGAUAAGCCGCAACCGUAAUCAGAGAAGCCUGAUUAAGAUCACCAGUUUGGCAAGAAAUGAAAGACUUUACAUCUGGUAUUUGCAGAUAGAACCUGGCAGAGCUGGCUUCCUCAAGUCCAUACUGAAAGACAGUAGGUACUGUUGUUUAUUAUCCGCUUGUAUAGAGGUGAGUUUCAGGUGUGAGGUGGUAUUGGUGGACUAGUUUUACAGAGAUGAAUGUUUAUCAUUCAUCUCACAAGCUUGCCAACCUAAUCAAAGUUAAAUCUUCC